rnacentral:tRNA from 1 species
AUAGCUCAGUCGGUAGAGCAGAGGACUGAAAAUCCUCGUGUCC